rnacentral:misc_RNA from 1 species
AAGUCGUAACAAGGUUUCCGUAGGUGAACCUGCGGAAGGAUCAUUAACACGUAUCCACGUUAUCAACCAACUGUGAACUUGUUUUCAACCUCCCUGCUGCUGAUACAUGAAUUUAGUUGAAAUAGAUUAUGAGCGGAACUUCGGUUCGGUCUAUUGAAACGACUCUUCGGAGUGAUUGUAGUAUCAGCGCGGGCAAACUUUCUAUUAUCAUUCUCUCUCUCAUGAGAGUGAUAAUGGGAAACUUAACACACAUAUUUAACCCCCUUUUUGCUAGUUGACUUUUAUAUGUUGUUUUCUACGUCGUUCAUUCGAUUUAGAAUUCACACGUUUAUUAAUUGAACGUUAAAUUUACAACUCUUAGCAAUGGAUAUCUUGGUUCUC